rnacentral:rRNA from 1 species
UACAGAGGGUGCAAGCGUUAAUCGGAUUUACUGGGCGUAAGCGUGACGUAGGCGGUUCAGUAUGUCGGUCGUGAAAUCCCCGGACUUGAACCUGGGAACUGCGGCCGAAACUGCUGGGCUUGAGUGUGGUAGAGGAAGGUGGAAUUCCAGGUGUAGCGGUGAAAUGCGUAGAGAUCAGGCGGAACACCCGUGGCGAAGGCGGCCAGCUGGGCCGUCCCUGACGCUGAGGCGCGAAGGCGUGGGGAGCGAACGGG